CCAUUUUGGUAACAUGGAUGCAUCUUAAUCUCAGUCUCAUGGAGAAUGGGAUGCAAGAGCUCAAUGUUUACCCAUAGGGAAGUUGAUUUGGGAGAUAACAUGCUUGUUAUUGAGGGAAAGAAGGGAUUGGCACAGGUUUCAGAUAUUCACUCUGGAGAGGGGAGGGAGAGCCCUAUGCCCAGGCAAUCCUAAAUGCAUACUAAGAAUUUGCAUUUAAUCUAUUGGCAAUAAGCAACCUUUCUCCGUGUAAACGUGAGAGAAACAGAUUGAUGUAUUUGCGUUCAGAUAGUGUAGGAGGGCUUGGUACAGGUAGCCUGGAAUUAUGUUUAUACUGCUACUAAAAGGAAACUGGCAGUUCCACACUUUACAGAAUUAGAGACAUUCUUCAAUGGCAUGGAAAGAGGGAAUAAGGAUUUGGAUGAUAAAAUGUGUAUUAGAUGAAGAAACUUUAAAUAGAAAAUUAUACAUAUAGCAUGUUUAUCUCACCUGCUUUUUUCCAUUGUAAGGAUCCCCCCCUAACGUUUCAUCUAUUUUAAGAUCGUACCAAUGAAAGCCCCCCACCUCUUCCAAUACAACCUAUGUCUGUUUCCAUUGAUCACCUAUCAAUGGGAAAUAUACAAAAUGUCUCACAACCAAGAGUUCAACUGAUGGACGGCAUCCGAAGAAGAAGCCCCAAAUCCCAUAAGGCUGAAGUGCAAUCAUCUGUAUUCUGGACCUGUUAGUGUGAAAUUGGGAGUAUCAUCCAGAAAAUUUGAUUCUAUGGUGCUAAGAAUGUCAACGACACAGCACAAGAGAGCCAUGCUGGAAAGUGUCACUGUUGGGUGAGAAACAACCAGGAAAGGGAGCGGGGGCGAGGAAGCAUCUUCAAGAAUCCAAUUGCAGCAGACUCUUGAAAGAACUGAUCCAAAAGUCUGGCAUUUCACUCCACAAGAGCAUAACACAAAGUGGGAACUUUCUCUGAAGCACCUCAACUGGAACCGCCAUAUUGUCUGGGGAUCUUCCAAGGCAAUUGUCUUUCUCCUCCUCCGGUGAAUGUUCCAAGGAGAGAUACACAGGCUGCAAUUUUGACAUGAAAAAGGAGUAUCUUCCACACAGAUUAUCAUCAAGCGUGCAUGAGAUGCUCAUUUGAAAUUCUCCUCUAAUUGUAAAGGCCCCCUUGAGGAGAACAAAUAAGCCCCGCCAUGUCUCCUAAUCUUGCUGCACUGGUUGUAGAGCGCAGUGUUCGCUCCUAAUGAUGACACAAAAGCUGCUGUAAGCUUUCCUUUUGUGUCUCUCCUGCAUAAAUCAGCUGUUAUUCAGUGAUUCAGUCCUAACGGGGGAGAAUCAUUUUUGUGCUUUUCAUUCUUUCCUCCCAGAGGGCAACAGAUGUAAUAACUUAUUCCCUGUCUAGCACAUUAGGGCUUGAAAAAUUAAUGCGGCGCUGCUGUGUUCUCUGCUUUUCCGCUAUACUUAGA